AUUUUUUAAAUGUCCCAGUAAAAGAGUUUGUUAGGAAGAAUUUGAAUUUGAAUUUAGUGGAGGCAAAAAAAUCUUUGAGAUUUUGGUAGAAGUUUCGGUUGGAGAAAGUUGGAACAGGAUCACAAUAUGUUGGAGACUGUAAAGACAACCCCAAAAUGCUUGACCAUCACAACAGUGGAAUCCCAGUCAAAGAAUCUUUAUAAAUAAGGAACUCACAAAACAGCGUAACUUAACAGUGGGGUUUUUUUUGUGUUUUUUAUUUUUUCUGUUCA